UACAGAGGUCUCAAGCGUUGUUCGGAAUCAUUGGGCGUAAAGAGCGUGUAGGCGGUCCGGUAAGUCCGCUGUGAAAGUCGGGGGCUCAACCCUCGAAUGCCGGUGGAUACUGUCGGGCUAGAGUGCGGAAGAGGCGAGUGGAAUUCCUGGUGUAGCGGUGAAAUGCGCAGAUAUCAGGAGGAACACCUAUUGCGAAGGCAGCUCGCUGGGACGUAACUGACGCUGAGACGCGAAAGCGUGGGGAGCAAACAGG
rnacentral:rRNA from 1 species